UACGUAGGGUCCGAGCGUUGUCCGGAAUUACUGGGCGUAAAGAGCUCGUAGGUGGUUUGUCGCGUUGUUCGUGAAAACUCACAGCUCAACUGUGGGCGUGCGGGCGAUACGGGCAGACUUGAGUACUGCAGGGGAGACUGGAAUUCCUGGUGUAGCGGUGGAAUGCGCAGAUAUCAGGAGGAACACCGGUGGCGAAGGCGGGUCUCUGGGCCUGUACUGACGCUGGAGGAGCGAAAGCGUGGGGAGCGAACAGG
rnacentral:rRNA from 1 species